UUACCUGUGGCUCAGUCAGUAGGGCAUUGCGCUUGAUAAGCAAAGAUCAGGGGUUUGAACCCCAGGGAAA